rnacentral:rRNA from 1 species
GUACCUGGUGGCGAGCGGCGGACGGGUGAGUAAUGCCUAGGAAUCUGCCUGGUAGUGGGGGAUAACGCUCGGAAACGGACGCUAAUACCGCAUACGUCCUACGGGAGAAAGCAGGGGACCUUCGGGCCUUGCGCUAUCAGAUGAGCCUAGGUCGGAUUAGCUAGUUGGUNGAGGUAAUGGCUCACCAAGGCGACGAUCCGUAACUGGUCUGAGAGGAUGAUCAGUCACACUGGAACUGAGACACGGUCCAGACUCCUACGGGAGGCAGCAGUGGGGAAUAUUGGACAAUGGGCGAAAGCCUGAUCCAGCCAUGCCGCGUGUGUGAAGAAGGUCUUCGGAUUGUAAAGCACUUUAAGUUGGGAGGAAGGGCAUUAACCUAAUACGUUAGUGUUUUGACGUUACCGACAGAAUAAGCACCGACUAACUCUGUGCCAGCAGCCGCGGUAAUACAGAGGGUGCAAGCGUUAAUCGGAAUUACUGGGCGUAAAGCGCGCGUAGGUGGUUUGUUAAGUUGGAUGUGAAAUCCCCGGGCUCAACCUGGGAACUGCA